AGCGAACGCUGGCGGCAGGCCUAACACAUGCAAGUCGAACGAACCUUUCGGGGUUAGUGGCGGACGGGUGAGUAACACGUGGGAACGUGCCUUUAGGUUCGGAAUAACUCAGGGAAACUUGUGCUAAUACCGAAUGUGCCCUUCGGGGGAAAGAUUUAUCGCCUUUAGAGCGGCCCGCGUCUGAUUAGCUAGUUGGUUGAGGUAAUGGCUCACCAAGGCGACGAUCAGUAGCUGGUCUGAGAGGAUGAUCAGCCACAUUGGGACUGAGACACGGCCCAAAAUCCCACGGGGGGAAGGAGGGGGGAAUUUGGGGAAAGGGGGGAAAGCCUGACGCAGCCAUGCCGGGUGAAAGAAGAAGGGUUUAGGUUUGAAAAAUUCUUUCCCCGGGGACGAAAAUGACGGUACCCGGAAAAGAAGCCCCGGCUAACUUGGU
rnacentral:rRNA from 1 species